rnacentral:tRNA from 1 species
GCCUGGGUGGCUCAGUCGGUUAAGCGUCUGACUUCCGCUCAGGUCAUGAUCUCGCGGUUUGUGAGUUCAAGCCCCAUGUCAGGCU